rnacentral:rRNA from 1 species
AUUGAACGCUGGCGGCAGGCCUAACACAUGCAAGUCGAGCGGGCGGCGGACGGGUGAGUAAUGUAUGGGGACUGCCCGAUAGAGGGGGAUACCUACUGGAAACGGUAGCUAAUACCGAAUACUAUCGGAUAACCCAUAGGGGAUUAGCUAGUAGGUGAGGUAAUGGCUCACAUAGGCGACGCUCCCUAGCUGGUCUGAGAGGAUGAUCAGCCACACUGGUACUGAGAAACGGCCCAGACUCCUACGGAGGCAGCAGUGGGGAAUAGUGGACAAUGGGCGCAAGCCUGAUGCAGCCAUGCAGCGUGUAUGAAGAAGGCCCUAGGGUUGUAAAGUACUUUCAGUCGGGAGGCGUUACCUACAGAAGAAGCACCGGCUAACUCCGUGCCAGCAGCCGCGGUAAUUC